rnacentral:misc_RNA from 1 species
GAUGAAGAACGUAGUGAAAUGCGAUAACUAGUGUGAAUUGCAGAAUUCCGUGAAUCAUCGAGUCUUUGAACGCACAUUGCGCCCCCUGGUAUUCCGGGGGGCAUGCCUGUCCGAGCGUCAUUGCUGCCCAUCAAGCACGGCUUGUGUGUUGGGUCGUCGUCCCCCCCUCCGGGGGGGACGGGCCCUAAAGGCAGCGGCGGCACCGCGUCCGAUCCUCGAGCGUAUGGGGCUUUGUCACCCGCUCUGUAGGCCCGGCCGGCGCUUGCCGAACGCAAAACAACCAUUCUUUCCAGGUUGACCUCGGAUCAGGUAGGGAUACCCGCUGAACUUAAGCAUAUCAAUAAGCGGAGGA